rnacentral:rRNA from 1 species
UACGGAGGAUGCAAGCGUUAUCCGGAAUUAUUGGGCGUAAAGCGUCCGCAGGUGGUUUUACAAGACUGCUGUCAAAGCGCGGAGCUUAACUUCGUAUCGGCAGUGGAAACUGUGGAACUAGAGUUUGGUAGGGGUCACGGGAAUUCCCAGUGUAGCGGUGAAAUGCGUAGAUAUUGGGAAGAACACCAGCGGCGAAAGCGCGUGACUGGGCCUGAACUGACACUCAUGGACGAAAGCUAGGGGAGCGAAAGGG